rnacentral:rRNA from 1 species
AUACGAAGGGUGCAAGCGUUACUCGGAAUUACUGGGCGUAAAGCGUGCGUAGGUGGUUGUUUAAGUCUGUCGUGAAAGCUCUGGGCUCAACCUGGGAAUGGCGAUGGAAACUGGGCGACUAGAGUGUGGCAGAGGGUAGUGGAAUUCCUGGUGUAGCAGUGAAAUGCGUAGAGAUCAGGAGGAACAUCCGUGGCGAAGGCGACUGCCUGGGCCAACACUGACACUGAGGCACGAAAGCGUGGGGAGCAAACAGGAUUAGAUACCCUGGUAGUCCACGCCCUAAACGAUGCGAACUGGAUGUUGGGUGCAAUUUGGCACGCAGUAUCGAAGCUAACGCGUUAAGUUCGCCGCCUGGGGAGUACGGUCGCAAGACUGAAACUCAAAGGAAUUGACGGGG